rnacentral:rRNA from 1 species
UUAGGAAUCUUCCACAAUGGGCGAAAGCCUGAUGGAGCGACGCCGCGUGAGGGAUGAAGGCCUUAGGGUUGUAAACCUCUAAAAGAGGGACGAUAAUGACGGUACCUCUUGAAUAGCACCGGCUAACUCCGUGCCAGCAGCCGCGGUAAUACGGAGGGUGCAAGCGUUAUCCGGAAUCACUGGGCGUAAAGGGCGCGUAGGCGGUCUGUUAAGUCCGAUGUUAAAUCCCGGGGCUCAACCCCGGAUAAGCGUUGGAUACUGGCAGGCUAGACGGUUGGAGAGGCGAGUGGAAGUACCAGUGUAGCGGUGGAAUGCGUAGAUACUGGUAGGAACACCCAUUGCGAAGGCAGCUCGCUGGACAACACGUGACGCUGAGGCGCGAAAGUGUGGGGAGCAAACC